GCCUGGGUGGCUCAGUUGGUUAAGCGACUGACUUUGGCUCAGGUUCGUGAGUUUGAGUCCCGCAUCGGGCU
rnacentral:tRNA from 1 species